rnacentral:lncRNA from 1 species
CUAGUUGUACGUUUAGAUGAGUUUCAGCCUCUAACUUCGAUUCUCCUUCCAAUGGAUACUUUGCUUCUUGGACAUGGAAAAUGAUGACCAUGAAUGGCUGCUGUAGGCUUUAACGUUUUGUAUGGAUACUUUGCUUCUUGGACAUGGAAAAUGAUGACCAUGAAUGGCUACUGUAGGCUUUAAAGUUUUGUACUUUUGAAUUUAAAAUUUG